rfam:Canis lupus familiaris chromosome 12, whole genome shotgun sequence.
GUUCACUUCAGUAGUCAUGUACUAAAAUUGGAAUAAUACAGAGAAGAUUAGCAUUGCCCCUGUGCAAGGAUGGCAAGCAAAUUUGUGAAGCGUUCCAUAUUUCU